AAACUGCGAUACGUAGUGUGAAUUGCAGAAUUCAGUGAAUCAUCGAAUCUUUGAACGCAAAUUGCGCUGCUGGGCUAUUCCCGGCAGCAUGCUUGGCUGAGUAUCAUCUGGACAAAUCGGUCACAUUUUUGUGUGAUUGGAAAUGAGGAUCUUGUCGCAGUCUCUUUAGGCUGCGUCCCUUCAAGUCUAGUAUGGUAUUAGCAUGAAUUUGCUAUGCGAAUUUGUGCCUUUACCGUUCAGUGUGUUAAGUGUGUAAACACAUGAGCACUGAUUAACAGCGGCAAGGUACAUUUGCAACAAAACUUUGAUCUCAGCUCAAGCAAGACUACCCGCUGAAUUUAA
rnacentral:misc_RNA from 1 species